rnacentral:rRNA from 1 species
CAGCCGCCGCGGGAAUACGUAGGUGGCAAGCGUUGUCCGGAAUUAUUGGGCGUAAAGGGCUCGCAGGCGGUUUCUUAAGUCUGAUGUGAAAGCCCCCGGCUCAACCGGGGAGGGUCAUUGGAAACUGGGAAACUUGAGUGCAAGAGGGGAGAGUGGAAUUCCAUGUGUAGCGGUGAAAUGCGUAGAUAUAUGGAGGAACACCGGUGGCGAAAGCGGCUCUCUGGCUUGUAACUGACGCUGAGGCUCGAAAGCGUGGGGAGCAAACAGGAUUAGAUACCCGCGUAGUCCCUGUCUCUUAUAC